GUGUGUUUAUAUCAAUGUAUGUUCUACAAGAUAGCUACCCAAUAUGAAUCAUACUAUUGGAAGCAUUGAUUACUAGAUUAAUUUAGAAUUGUAUCUGUGUAUUUUCGCAUAGCUACUCUCUUGUUGCCAUUAGAAUUGAUUGCUAGACACGUGCUGAGGAAAUUUGGUGCUAUUUAGUUGAUAUUAUAAAGUAAUACUUAAGGGAGUAAUUGUAAAAACACGCAUGCAGCACAGAAGAUACUGUGUGGUGUUCGGUAAGCGAUUAUAGUUGAACAUCGUUUACAUUUAUAGAAGCGUGUUAUUUGUGUUAUUGUGAGCGUAUCUGGCCUUUUGUAUACGUGUCUCGGGCAACGUGCGAGAUUACAUACGCAAACGCAAAGGCCUACACAUGUGGCGUAUAAUACGCAGCGUGCGUACGGAUACGCCCACUAAAUUCAAAUCACAUGAUAGCAUUGUUUUAGUGUGGGCGGUAUAGUAGCCACGUGAUAAUAGCACAAGUUUGUUCAGUUUCCAAAAAGUUUAGUUUAAAAAGAACCUUUUUCUAUUGCAAAACUCGAUGAUUGAACUGUUUGCCUGAAUGAAAGUAAUUUCUGUACAGAAAAAUCAGUGUGCAUAUGAGUGAACAGGAGUGAGUGUGCAAAUAAAGGUAUUCUUUUUUGUGAACCCAGAAAUCGAGAUACCUUCGGAGACCACACCAGGUUGCACCCCAUGUUAAACUUCCCUCAGGAUUACAAGCAAGAAACUGAGCCCAGCAUGAUGUCGGCACCUUUUCCAGCAGCCAUCAUACGAGACACCCAGGUGGGCACGGCCCAAUCGGUAAAGACAGUAGUAAAGCCCCCUAAUGGAGGGUCAGGUGAGGUCGUGUCCACAGGUAAGUACGGCAUUGUAUAUUAUGCACAGACAAUUGCACCUCACAUUGUAGAGUCAACACAAGAUGAUGUAGUUGAACUUAAUUCUGUCAGGGUGAUUGCAGUCCCAAAUGGACAGACUGACACUCUGGGAGUCACUCACGUCAGGGGCAUUGCCCCUGGUCCCAGACAGAAUUAAGGACAAUUAUGUCUGAAUUUCCUGAUCCCAGGAAAGAUCUAGCCGCAUGCCAAAGGUUCAUUAAAAAAUUAGGUAACUCCGCAUAACCCAAUAACAAACAUUGGCGGACAUUGCUGAGGGUAUGUCUACCCUCCAAUAUUGACCCUGCGAAAUUUAUUACUGAUUGUAAAUUAGACGCAGACGUACCUCUCACUGAGGAAUACACUCAGGAGAAUGUACGACAAAUCAAUCUGCAAUUAGGAGUAUAUUUCCCAACUGUUGUCAAGUGGAACAAAAUUUUCUCCAUUAGCCAAAAAGAAGGUGAAAUGGCAGCGGAAUAUUUCCAUCGAGCACUGCAGGAAAUAUCUAGAUACACUGGGAUCACGGACAUUGAGGAUAAUGUACAUUAUAGGGAGGUAGCUGUGUCCGUAUUAAUGGAUGGCUUAAAAGACACACUAAGAAUCAGGGUACAAACCUCUCUACCUAACUGGAGAGGUAUCUCGGUGGCUGCAUUAAGAGAGUCCGCUAUCGAGCAUGACCGUAAUAUCCAAAGAACAAGGGAAGCACGGGGAGAGCGGUUGAUGGUGAUGAACAUCCAAGCACUAGAAGAGGCAUCAAAUCGACCAAAACCCCAGGCCACUGGCACAUGGAGGAAGCCAAGGGUUUGUUAUCUUUGUAAAAGGGAAGGGCAUUAUGCCAGCAACUGUAACAGCACACAUAAAGUCAGACCUCCUAGACAAGAACACAAGCAAAGUUAUGACACACGUAAUUGUAAUCAGGGAUCAUAUAGGAAGAAUUUUGGGAAGCACCUGUAAUUUGCAGCCAGUGAAGUUGAUCAUUAGCCUUGAUAGUAAGCCUGAGGUUACAGUCAAUGUAAUUGGGAGGUCAAUUCCUUGUAGACACAGGGACGGCCGGGUAAACUUUGUAAUUUAUCUUUAAAUGUUUCCUUCUCAUCGCUAACGUUCACCAGCAGAACACAAACGUCACAUGACUACUUGGUCUUUUCAGAGGUCUACCCAACCCCAGUAUAUCUUACCAGCAUCGUUGUGUUUGGCCAGGCACAAAGGGUGGAGAGUGGAAAUACUGGUGGGGGAGAAAGUGCAGAGAUACCUAUGGACAUGUUGGUGUAAAAAGCCUAAUGGUGAACGGAAAUCCGACAAUGUUUUUUUUUCCUAAUUGUUCUCUCUCUUUUUGUUCUUUCAUGUUUUACGGAUGGUAUGUCACACAAAAGUUAGAUAAAUGGUAAUGCAAGAUUUAUGCUCCUUACAGAAAGAUCACUGAUUUGGAAAGAAUAUUGUAUCACCGGAGUGUUCGUUGUGGGAAGACUGAGAGACAGCACCUUUGAGAUGACAACUGAGCAAGAAGAACAAAAAGACUAGAGGACAAAUUAUCGUAACAAGUUUUUUUCCCCUUCAAUUAAUUUCUGUACCCCCAUUACAACUUUCUCUUUCUCCUCUUGUAAGAUGGACUCGCACCAAGAGACUGCAGUCCGUGUUUUCCUGUUGACCCUGUUGUUGACCAGAGCAGUCUGUUUCGGUGAGAGUACCAGUGAGGUCGAGAAAGGAUCUGGAAAGGGUUCUGAUGAUCAGGAUGGAGUAGUAGAAUUCCAAGAGCAACACAAUCACCGAGUAAAGGCGAGUAUCAGAAAACGAUCUGGUAGCCAUGACACUAAGAGACAUUGUGAAGGAUUGUUAGCUGAAGAGAAUUGUAUCUGUAGGAAUUGUGAAAACAUAGUUGAGGAUGGGUGCAUCCAGAGAUGUCAGUCCAGCCUUAAUAUCAACAUGGACCGUCAUCCGUUGAGUGACUAUCACUCAUUAGUGGGUAAGGUUUUAAACCAAACAGAAUGCUGGGUGUGCUCACAAGUACCUCAAGGUCAUAGAAAGUCAGGACUAGUGCCAUACUCUUUAUCGAUAGAUGAGGUACUUGAGUUAAGGGGUGGGAGACCGGUGGACAAGAAAUUUAAUAUUUCUAGGCCUCCUGGUUUGAAGCUCCACCAAUACCAUGUAGAUAGGUCCCUAAUAUGUUUUAACAUUUCCAAUCCCCGAAAGCCGGGAAAUUGGGAAGUGACAUGGAACAACUGAACCAUGACAUUCUACGUUACAUUUUUUGGCGUCAGGCACAUUCCAGCCUACACUGUCUCAAACAUGCGGUUUUUCACAGUCGACACUGUCGCGCUGUAUAACCCAGGUCUUUAGGGCUUUCCGCAAAUUGACGAUCCAGUACAUCACAUUUCCAGAGACGGACAGCGAAUGUCGUGAGAUCAAAUUAGGCUUUUUUACCAAAUACAAAUUUCCCAAUGUUCUGGGCGCGAUUGACUGUACCCACGUGCAGAUCAGACCGCGAUGGAAUUCGGAAGAAUGUUUUCGGAACCGAAAACAUUUCCACGCCAUGAAUGUACAGGCGGUCUGUGAUGUCAACAUGAAAUUUUUGAAUAUUUUUGUGGGAUUUCCUGGAUCGUCUCACGACUACUUCAUCCUAAGUCAGUCAUCGCUGUUUGAGAAGUUCGAAACAGGAAAGAUGCCGGGUGGCUGGCUGUUAGGUAUUUAUUUUAAUUGUUUUUAUUUUUUUUUAUUUUUUUUUUAUAUUACCCACCAUUUUUUUUUAUUUUCUUAUAGGCGAUGUGGGUUAUCCCAACAAAUCGUGGCUCUUGACCCCAUUGUCAAAUCCUGUUGGUAGAGCAGAAAAACGUUACCAAGAGACACACAAAGCAUCGAGGCAAAUAAUUGAACGUGCCUUCGGGGUACUUAAAAGCCGGUUUAGAUGUUUAGACACUUCCGGCGGUGCUCUUUUGUAUUCACUGGGAAAGGUUUGCGGCAUGGUAAAUGCAUGUUGUAUUUUACACAACAUAUGUGUCGCAAACUGUUUGCCGGUGACUCUUCGUCACAGUGCUUUCUGACGCGGGAACCGUUCUUCUGCUCUACCGGUGGGUAUGGACGAAGGAGAUGAUUCCCGACGGACAUUGGUACAAAACUUUUUUUCCGUUGCCUAGUUUUACGUCCUGUUGACGCACCUUCCCAGGCCUGUUUUCAAAGUUUUGUCCUGUUGACGACCUGUUACCCCCUGUUUUCUCCUGUUGUUGGGUUGCCGCAAAUAUUGGACCCAUUUAUCUAACUCCACCAUGGGCGACCUGACCCUCCGCCAUGUAGCAGACAACCCCCCUCAGGUCUUGCGGAGUAUCCUUCCCAAGUUGCGUGGAUGUGAAGAGACACGACAUUUCUCCUGAUGUACCAUAGGCGACCUACUUGUGAUGUGGACCUGAAUCUCCGCCAUGUAGCUGACAACCCCACUCUGGUCUUGCGGAGUAUCCUUCCCAAGUGGUGUGGAUGUGAAGGGACACGACAUUUCUCCUGAUGUACCAUGGGCGACCUACUUGUGAUGUGGACCUGAACCUCCGCCAUGUAGCUGACAACCCUCCUCAGGUCUUGCGGAGUAUCCUUCCCAAGUUGCGUGGAUGUGAAGGGACACCACAGUUCCCCUGAUGUACCAUGGGUGACCUAACAAUUCCACUGCAUCUCAUAUUUAACAUUGUAUUUGCUAAUAAUUUAAAUAAAAACCACAGAAAACUUCUCAAUUUAAACA